rnacentral:lncRNA from 1 species
AGGAAAUAUUUAGAUUGGCCAUAGCUUACAUAGAGAUUUAUGCGGUAAGGUGUGGUUUGUAUUUUUUGUCUGACCUAUCUGAUGUGUCAAUCAGAUGUGUACUUUGUGUUUAGUUGAACAUGUUUCUUAACUGUUUUUAGUACUGAAAGGGAAUUAGGCUUACACCUUUUUCCUAAUUAAUUUUGGUGGUUGAAUUGCCCAACACAAAUAAUUGGACUAAUUAGUUUGCUCUAGUCUAUAAGUUUUACAGGUGUCAAAGGUUCACAACAAGCCAAUAAAAAGACCAAAGAUGGGUUCAAAUAAAGAGAGCUAAAGAUAACCCAAAGGCACCCUGGUCUGGCGCACCGGACUGUCCAGUGUGCCACCGGACAGUGUCCGGUGCAACAGGGAACUUGACGCUGAACUCGCUACCUUCAAGAAAAUGGAGGCCGCUCCGCUAUAAUUCACGGGACUGUCCGGUGAAGCACCGGACAAUGUCCGGUGUGCCAGCGGGGCAACGGCUACUUCGCGCCAACGGUCGACUGCAACCGCAUUGAAUGCGCUACAGUGCGCGCCAGAGUCAGAGCACACGCAGAAGGGGCACUGGGUAGUCUACAGGACCUGUCCGGUGCACCACCGGACAGCCCAGAGGCCCCACCAGUUAGAGCUCCAACGGUCAGAACCCAACGGCCGGCUGACGUGGCUGGCGCACCGGACUGUCCGGUGCGCCAUGCGACAAACAGCCUCCCAAUGGCCACUUUUGGUGGUUGGGGCUAUAAAUACCCCAACCACCCCACAUUCAAUGGCAUCCAAGUUUUCCAACUUCCUACACCUUACAAGAGCUAUAGCAUUCAAUACAAGACACACCAAAGAGAUCAAAUCCUCUCCCAAGUCCAUAGUUCAUUCCAAAUCAAAUAGUGACUAGUGAGAGAGUGACUUGUGUUCAUUUGAGCUCUUGCGCUUGGAUUGCUUCUUUUUCUCAUUCUUUCUUGUGAUCAAACUCAAUUGUAACCGAGGCAAGAGACACCAAUUGUGUGGUGGUACUUGCGGGGACUUUGUGUCCCGUUUGAUUGAGAAGAGAAGCUCACUCGGUCUAAGUGACCGUUUGAGAGAGGGAAAGGGUUGAAAGAGACCCGGUCUUUGUGACCACCUCAACGGGGAGUAGGUUUCCAAGAACCGAACCUCGGUAAAACAAAUCCUUGUGUCUCACUCUUUAUUUGCUUGCGAUUUGUUUUUCACCCUCUCUCUCGGACUCGUUCAUAUUUAUAACGCUAACCCAGCUUGUAGUUGUGAUUAAGUUUAUAAAUUUCAGAUUCGCCCAAUUCACCCCCCCCCCCUCUAGGCGACUUUCAAUUGGUAUCAAAGUUGGUGCUUCAUUAGAGCUUAACCGCUCGAAGUGAUGUCGAGAGCAUCCGUCAAGAGGGAGAUCGGGACCGGCGAGAAGCCCGCCACAAGCCAUGGGAAGGCUCCAUCCGGGGAGUCCGCCAACAAGGUGAAGGGAUCCCCUUCACACGACAAGUUGCUUCAGAGCGGUGACAAGAAGAAGAAGAUGAAGAAGGUGGUCUACUACGAGACCGACUCUUCGUCGCCAUCCACCUCCGGCUCCGACAUGUCGUCCGUAACUUCCAAGCGCCAUGAGCGCAAGAAGUUUAGUAAGAUCCCCCUACGCUACCCUCACAUUUCCAAACAUACUCCAUUACUUUCCGUCCCAUUAGGCAAACCACCUAUGUUUGAUGGUGAAGAUUAUAAUAUGUGGAGUGAUAAAAUGAGGCAUCAUCUAACCUCACUCCACACUAGCAUUUGGGAUGUUGUUGAGAUUGGAGUACAGGUACCAUCACCGGGGGAUGAAGACUAUGAUUCGAACGAGGUCGCCCAAAUCCGACACUUCAACUCCCAAGCCACCACUAUACUCCUCGCCUCUCUAAAUCGAGAGGAGUAUAACAAGGUGCAAGGGUUAAAGAGCACCAAGGAGAUUUGGGACGUGCUCAAGACCACGCACGAAGGAGACGAGGUGACCAAGAUCACCAAGCGGGAGACGAUCGAGGGGGAGCUCGGUCGAUUCCAACUCAACCAAGGCGAGGAUCCUCAAGCCAUGUACAACCGGCUAAAGACCUUGGUCAAUCAAGUGCGUAACCUCGGGAGCAAGAAAUGGGAUGACCAUGAAAUGGUCAAGGUUAUUCUUAGAUCACUCGUUUUUCUUAACCCUACGCAAGUUCAAUUAAUUCGAGGUGAUCCUAGAUACACGCUAAUGUCUCCUGAGGAGGUAAUAGGUAAAUUUGUGAGCUUUGAGCUAAUGAUCAAAGGCUCCAAAAAGAUCAUCGAGCAAGGCGACUCCUCCACGCCUGAAGCACAACCCGUUGCAUUCAAAGCAACGGAGGAAAAGAAAGAAGAUUCUACUUCAAGUAGAAUCCCCAUCGACGCCUCCAAGCUCGACAAUGAGGAGAUGGCGCUCAUCAUCAAGAGCUUCCGUCAAAUCCUCAAACAAAGGAAGGGGAAAGAUUACAAGCCCCGUUCCAAGAAGGUGUGCUACAAGUGUGGUAAGCCUGGUCAUUUCAUUACUAAAUGUCCAUUAUCUAGUGAUAGUGACAGGGGCGACGACAAGAAGGUAAGGAGGAGAGAAAAGAAGAGGUAUUACAAGAAGAAGGGCGGCGAUGCCCAUGUUUGCCGGGAGUGGGACUCCGACGAGAGCUCCACCGACUCUUCCUCCGACGAGGACGCCGCCAACAUCGCCGUCACCAAAGGGCUCCUCUUCCCCAACGUCGGCCACAAGUGCCUCAUGGCAAAGGACGGCAAAAGGAAGAAGGUAAAAUCAAGAUCCUCCACUAAAUAUGCAACCUCUAGUGAUGAGGAGGAUAAUUUAUGUACCCUUUUUGCCAACCUAAACAUGCAACAAAAAAAGUUAAAUGAAUUAAUUAGUUCUAUUCAUGAGAAGGAUGAACUCUUGGACUCCCAAGAGGACUUCCUAAUUAAGGAAAACAAGAAGCAUGUUAAGAUUAAAAAUGCUUACGCUCUAGAAGUAGAAAAAUGUGAAAAAAAACUAUCUAGUGAGCUAAGCACUUGCCAUGAUAUUAUUGCCAACCUUAAAAAUGAGAAUGCUAGAUUAAUUCCUAAGGUUGAUUCAAAUGUUUGUGAUGAUUCAAUUUCCAAUCUUAGAGAUGAUAAUGUUAAUUUACUUGCUAAGAUUGAAGAAUUGAAUGUUUCUCUUGCUAGCCUUAGAAACGAAAAUGAAAAAUUAAUUGCUAAGGCUAAGGACUUAGAUGUUUGCAAUGUUACAAUUUCCAAUCUUAGAAGUGAAAAUGACAUCUUACAUGCUAAGAUUGUUGAACUAAAAACUUGCAAACCCUCUACAUCUACCAUUGAGCAUGUUUCCAUUUGCACCAGAUAUAGAGACAUUAAUGUUGAUGCUAUUCAUGAUCACCUAGCUUUAAUUAAGAAACAAAAUGAUCACAUAGCUCACCUUAAUGCUAAGAUUAAUGAGCAUGACUUAGAAAAUGAAAAAUUUAAAUUUGCUAGAAGCAUGCUCUAUAGUGGGAGACGCCCAGGCAUCAAGGAUGGCAUUGGCUUCCAAAAGGGAGACAAUGUCAAACUUAAUGCCCCUCCUAAAACAUUGUCUAAUUUUGUUAAGGGCAAGGCUCCCAUGCCUCAGGAUAACGAGGGUUACAUUUUGUACCCUGUUGGUUACCCCGAGCAUAAAAUUAGGAGAAUUCACUCUAGGAAGUCUCACUCUGGCCCUAAUCAUGCUUUUAUGUAUAAGGGUGAGACAUCUAGCUCUAGGCAAUCAACCCGUGCAAAAUUGCCUAAGAAGAAAACUCCUAUUGCAUCAAAUGAUACUAACAUUUCAUUUAAAACUUUUGAUGCAUCUUAUGUUUUAACUAACAAAUCCGACAAGAUAGUUGCCAAGUAUGUUUGGGGCAAGCACAAGGGGUCAAAGACUUGUGUUUGGGUACCCAAAGUUCUUGUAUCUAAUGUCAAAGGACCCAAAACCGUUUGGGUACCUAAAAUCAAGAACUAAAAUUGUUUUGUAGGUUUAUGCAUCCGGGGGCUCAAGUUGGAUCAUCGAUAGCGGGUGCACAAACCAUAUGACAGGGGAGAAGAAGAUGUUCUCCUCCUACGAGAAAAACCAAGAUCCCCAAAGAGCGAACACAUUUGGGGAUGGGAAUCAAGGUUUGGUCAAAGGAUUGGGUAAAAUAGCUAUAUCGCCUGACCAUUCCAUUUCCAAUGUUUUUCUUGUAGAUUCUUUAGAUUACAACUUGCUUUCAGUUUCGCAAUUAUGUAAAAUAGGUUACAACUAUCUUUUUACGGAUAUAAGUGUUACUGUCUUUAGAAGAAGUGAUGAUUCAGUAGCAUUUAAGGGGGUGUUAGAGGGUCAGCUAUACUUAGUAGAUUUUGAUAGAGCUAAACUCGACACUUGCUUAAUUGCUAAGACUAACAUGGGCUGGCUCUGGCAUCGCUGACUAGCACAUGUUGGAAUGAAGAAUCUUCACAAGCUUCUAAAGGGAGAACACAUUUUGGGAUGUUCAUUUUGAGAAAGACAGGAUUUGUAGCGUAUGUCAGGCAGGGAAGAAAGUUGGUGUUCAUCAUCCACACAAGAACAUCAUGACGACAGACAGGCCACUCGAGCUCCUACACAUGGACCUAUUCGGCCCGAUUGCUUACAUAAGCAUCGGCGGGAGUAAGUACUGUCUAGUUAUUGUGGAUGACUAUUCUCGCUUCACUUGGGUGUUCUUUUUGCAGGAAAAAUCUCAUACCCAAGAAACCUUAAAGGGAUUCUUGAGACAGGCUCAAAACGAGUUCGGCUUAAGGAUCAAGAAAAUAAGAAGCGACAACGGGACGGAGUUCAAGAACUCACAAAUCGAAGGAUUCCUUGAGGAGGAGGGCAUCAAGCAUGAGUUCUCUUCUCCCUACACAAUACAACAAAAUGGUGUAGUGGAGAGGAAGAAUCGAACUCUAUUGGACAUGGCAAGAACCAUGCUUGAUGAGUACAAGACUUCGGAUCGGUUUUAGGCCGAGGCGGUCAACACCGCGUGCUAUGCCAUCAACCGAUUGUAUCUACACCGAAUCCUCAAGAAGACAUCAUACGAACUCCUAACCGGUAAAAAGCCCAAUGUUUCAUAUUUUAGAGUCUUUGGUAGCAAAUGCUUUAUUCUUGUUAAAAGAGGUAGAAAAUCUAAAUUUGCUCCUAAGGCUGUAGAAGGCUUUUUACUAGGAUAUGAUUCAAACACAAGGGCAUAUAGAGUCUUUAACAAGUCCUCUAGACUAGUUGAAGUUUCUUGUGACAUUGUGUUUGAUGAGACUAACGGCUCUCAAGUAGAGAAAGUUGAUCUUGAUGAGCUAGAUGAUGAAGAGGAUCUGUGCAUCACGCUAAGGAACAUGUCCAUUGGGGAUGUGUGUCCUAAGGAAUCCGAAGAGCCUCCAAAUGCACAAGAUCAAUCAUCUUCCUCCAUGCAAGCAUCUCCACCAACUCAAGAUGAGGAUGAGGCUCAAAAUGAUGAAGGAGAAGAUCAAGAAGAUGAGCCACCUCAAGAGGAGAGCAAUGAUCAAGGGGGAGGUGCCCAUGUUCAAGAUGAGGAAGAUGAACAAGUACCAAGACCGCCACACCCAAGAGUCCACCAAGCAAUCCAACGAGAUCACCCCGUGAACACUAUCCUCGGAGAUAUUCAAAAGGGGGUAACUACUCGAUCUCGUGUUGCUCAUUUUUGUGAACAUUACUCUUUUGUUUCCUCUAUUGAGCCACACAGGGUAGAGGAAGCACUUCAAGAUUUGGAUUGGAUGGUGGCGAUGCAAGAGGAGCUCAACAACUUCACUAGGAAUGAGGUAUGGCAUUUAGUUCCAUGUCCUAAUCAAAAUGUUGUAGGAACUAAGUGGGUCUUCCGCAACAAGCAAGAUGAGCAUGGUGUGGUGACAAGGAACAAAGCCCGACUUGUGGCCAAGGGGUAUUCACAAGUCGAAGGUUUGGAUUUCGGUGAAACCUAUGCACCCGUAGCUAGGCUUGAGUCAAUUCGCAUUUUACUUGCCUAUGCUACUUACCAUGGCUUUAAGCUUUAUCAAAUGGACGUGAAAAGUGCCUUCCUCAAUGGACCAAUCAAGGAGGAGGUCUAUGUUGAGCAACCUCUCGGCUUUGAAGAUAGUAAGUAUCCUAAUCACGUAUAUAAACUCUCUAAGGCGCUUUAUGGGCUCAAGCAAGCCCCAAGAGCAUGGUAUGAAUGCCUAAGAGAUUUUCUUAUCACUAAUGGCUUCAAAGUCGGAAAGGCCGAUCCUACCUUAUUUACUAAAACUCUUGAAAAUGAUUUGUUUGUAUGCCAAAUUUAUGUUGAUGAUAUUAUAUUUGGGUCUACUAAUGAAUCUACAUGUGAAGAAUUUAGUAGGAUCAUGACACAAAAAUUCGAGAUGUCUAUGAUGGGGGAGUUGAAAUACUUCUUAGGAUUUCAAGUGAAGCAACUCCAAGAGGGCACCUUCAUUAGCCAAACGAAGUAUAUUCAAGACAUUCUUAACAAGUUUGGGAUGAAGGAUGCCAAGCCCAUCAAGACACCCAUGGGAACUCAUGGGCAUCUCGACCUCGACACGGGAGGUAAAUCCGUAGAUCAAAAGGUAUACCGGUCGAUGAUAGGUUCUUUACUCUACUUAUGUGCAUCUCGACCAGACAUUAUGCUUUCCGUAUGCAUGUGUGCAAGAUUCCAAGCCGACCCUAUGGAAGCUCACCUUACGGCCGUAAAACGAAUCUUGAGAUAUUUAGUUUAUACUGCUAAGUUUGGGCUUUGGUACCCUCGGGGAUCCACAUUUGAUUUAACUGGUUAUUCGGAUGCCGAUUGGGCAGGGUGUAAAAUUAAUAGAAAGAACACAUCGGGAACUUGCCAGUUCUUGGGAAGGUCUCUGGUGUCUUGGGCUUCAAAGAAGCAAAAUUCUGUAGCCCUUUCUACCGCCGAAGCCGAGUAUAUUGUCGCAGGCCAUUGUUGCGCGCAAUUACUUUGGAUGAGGCAAACCCUUAGGGACUAUGGUUACAUAUUAACCAAAGUUCCUCUUCUAUGUGAUAAUGAGAGUGCAAUCCGCAUGGCGGAUAAUCCCGUUGAACAUAGCCGCACUAAACACAUAGCCAUUCGGUAUCAUUUCUUAAGGGAUCACCAACAAAAGGGGGAUAUCGAGAUUGCAUAUAUUAACACCAAAGAACAAUUAGCCGAUAUCUUUACCAAGCCACUAGAUGAACAAACAUUUAACAAACUUAGGCAUGAGCUAAAUAUUCUUGAUUCUCGGAACUUCUUUUGAUGUCUUGCAUACAUAGCUCAUUGAUAUACCUUUGAUCAUGUCUCUUUUAUAUGCUAUGACUAAUGUGUUUUCAAGUGUAUUUCAAAUCAAGUCAUAGAUUGAAAGGGAAUUGGAGUAUUCGGCGAAGACAAAGGCUUCCACUCCACUCCAUCGAAAUUACUCAUCCUUCGCCGUCACUCCGCGCCGCUCUCCAACUUUGGUAUAAUCUUCACUCAUAUCUUGUUCGCCAAAGGGGGAGAAAGUAGUUGAAAGGGCUUAUAUUUCACUCAAGUAUCCGUUUUUGGUGAUUCAUGCCAAAGGGGGAGAAAGUAUUAGCCCAAAGCAAAAGGACCGCACCACCACCAAUUUUCAAAAAUUUAAGUUAAGAAAAGAGUUUUCAAAUUAUGAUUUUUUCAAUUGGUAUCUUAUUUUUGAUAGAAUUUAAAAUUGAUACAACCCUUUCAAAACUAAUAUCUAAAACCCUCUUGAACACUAAGAGGAGGAUUUUAUUAAGGGGGAGUUUUGUUUAGUCAAAGGAAAAGCAUUUGAAACAGGGGGAGAAAAUUUCAAAUCUUGAAAAUGCUUCUCAAAAUCUUAUUCAUCUACCUUUGACUAUUUGCAAAAAGGACUCUGAAAAGAAUUUACAAAAGAAUUUGCAAAAACAAAACAUGUGGUGCAAGCGUGGUCCAAAAUGUUAAAAAUAAAGAAAUCAAUCCAUGCGCAUCUUAUCAGAAUUUAUUGGUUCAAUUCUUAGUAUCCUUUGCACUUACAUUAUGCAAACUAGUUCAACUAUGCACUUUUAUAUUUGCUUUGGUUUGUGUUGGCAUCAAUCACCAAAAAGGGGGAGAUUGAAAGGGAAUUAGGCUUACACCUUUUUCCUAAUUAAUUUUGGUGGUUGAAUUGCCCAACACAAAUAAUUGGACUAACUAGUUUGCUCUAGUCUAUAAGUUUUACAGGUGCCAAAGGUUCACAACAAGCCAAUAAAAAGACCAAAGAUGGGUUCAAAUAAAGAGAGCUAAAGACAACCCAAAGGCACCCUGGUCUGGCGCACCGGACUGUCCGGUGUGCCACCGGACACUGUCCGGUGUGCUAGGGAACUUGACGCUGAACUCGCUACCUUCGGGAAAAUGGAGGCCGCUCCGCUAUAAUUCACCGGACUGUCCGGUGAAGCACCGGACAGUGUCUGGUGUCACACCGAACUGUCCGGUGUGCCAGCGGGGCAACGGCUACUUCGCACCAACGGUCAACUGCAACCGCAUUGAAUGCGCUACAGUGCGCGCCAGAGUCAGAGCACGCGCAGAAGGGGCACCAGACAGUCUACAGGACCUGUCAGGUGCACCACCGGACAGCCUAGAGGCCCCACCAGUCAGAGCUCCAACGGUCAGAACCCAACGGCCGGCUGACAUGGCUGGCGCACCGGACUGUCCGGUGCGCCAUGCGACAGACAGCCUCCCAAUGGCCACUUUUGGUGGUUGAGGCUAUAAAUACCCCAACCACCCCACAUUCAAUGGCAUCCAAGUUUUCCAACUUCCUACACCUUACAAGAGCUAUAGCAUUCAAUACAAGACACACCAAAG